rnacentral:sRNA from 1 species
UCAAUAGUGAGACUUUUGACGUGAUGAUC